UACGGAGGGUGCAAGCAUUAAUCGGAUUUACUGGGCGUAAAGAGCGCGUAGGCGGCUUAUUAAGUUAGGUGUGAAAUUCCGGAGCUCAAAUUCGGAGCUGCACUUAAAACUGGUAGGCUAGAGGGUAGAUAGGGAAAACGGAAUUCCACGUGUAGCGGUGAAAUGCGUAGAUAUGUGGAAGAACACCGGUGGUGAAGACGGUUUUCUGAUCUAUGCCUGACGCUAAGGCGCGAAAGCGUGGGGAGCAAACAGG
rnacentral:misc_RNA from 1 species